rnacentral:rRNA from 1 species
CGCGUAGGCGGCCUUCUAAGUCGGACGUGAAAUCCCUCGGCUUAACCGAGGAACUGCGUCCGAUACUGGAAGGCUUGAAUCCGGGAGAGGGAUGUGGAAUUCCAGGUGUAGCGGUGAAAUGCGUAGAUAUCUGGAGGAACACCGGUGGCGAAGGCGGCAUCCUGGACCGGGCAUUGACGCUGAGGCGCGAAAGCUAGGGGAGCAAACG